GACAGAGGAGCCAAGCGUUGUCCGGAUUGACUGGGCGUAAAGCGCACGCAGGCGGUUGGGCGCGUGGGGGGUGAAAGCUGGUGGCUUAACUGCCAGAUGCCAUCCCAUACGGCGCGACUCGAGCCCGUGAGAGGUCCACGGAAUUGCCGGUGUAGUGGUGAAAUGCGUAGAGAUCGGCAGGAACACCCAGGGGGAAACCAGUGGACUGGCACGGUGCUGACGCUCAGGUGCGAAAGCGUGGGGAGCGAACCGG
rnacentral:rRNA from 1 species